rnacentral:rRNA from 6 species
UUAGGGAGACCUACUUCGAGAUAUCGCGCCUUAACAACUAUAGCCGUGUCUUGAGGUCAUCCUUAGGUCGGAUGGGGCGGUCAGAGAGCUUUCAAACUUUAGGGUUCGUGUUAU